rnacentral:sRNA from 1 species
GUCCUGCGCGGGGCGGGGAUGUGAAUCCCGAUGGAGCGGCCCGAGGAAGGCAAGCAGUCGCCGCCGCCGCAGCCCUGGGGACGGCUCCUGCGUCUGGGCGCGGAGGAGGGCGAGCCGUACGUCCUCCUGAGGAAGCGAGAGUGGACCAUCGGGCGGAGACGAGGUUGCGACCUUUCGUUCCCCAGCAAUAAACUGGUCUCUGGAGAUCACUGUAGAAUUGCAGUGGAUGAAAAAUCAGGUCAGGUGACACUGGAAGAUACCAGCACCAGUGGAACAGUGAUUAACAAGCUGAAGGUUGUUAAGAAGCAGACGUGCCCUUUACAGACUGGGGAUGUCAUCUACUUGGUGUACAGGAAGAAUGAACCGGAACACAGUAAGAGAGAGGAAGGCUUGCCGGGGUCAGACCCGCACGGGGGUGCACGUGAGGGCGCACUCUGAACGUUCCUCCUGGCUACAUCCCUUCCUGUAGGAACGUUCCUCCUGGCUACACCCCAUUUCUUGCUCACAUGGGUUCCUGCUGUGAAUAGUGUCUGUUGAGGAGUGGGAGUGUCGACUUUGCAGCCUGAGCCCAGCCAUUCCUCAGGAAUACCACCGUGGCCAUGAGCAGCCAAUCCCAAAAUGGCAGCCAAGGAGAAACUGAUGGGGAUGGUUUGGGUUCUACAGGAGAAGAACUUGAGUUAUGGGGAAUAAAACCUAGGACCAGGGGUCUAGAGGCCAUUGAUGGUUCUGCUUUUGGAGACCUUAUAAGAAACAUCA